rnacentral:tRNA from 1 species
GUAGCUCAAUCGGUAGAGCGUGUGGCUCUUAACAAAGUCCAACCUCAAGGUUGCGGGUUCGAGUCCCGCC